CUUUUUUGAGAUACGCGUGGUGAUAGCUCGAAUGUCUUGCUUCAUUGCUUUCAUGAUCCAUCCAUGCAACUUAUUUAGUUCUCAUGGACCCUUCAACAGAUCCCACCGAUACAAGAAUGGUUUGCCAUGCUCAUAAUUCUCUGGGACUUCAUCUGACGCAAAGAAAUUGAGGUUUUUAUUCUUUUCCUUUUGCCGAGAGGUGCCGCAAGCUACAGAUUUCUCACCGGAAGAUGAAGCCUUCUUCUUC
rnacentral:lncRNA from 1 species